GACGAACGCUGGCGGCGUGCUUAACACAUGCAAGUCGAACGGAAAGGCCCUGCUUUUGUGGGGUGCUCGAGUGGCGAACGGGUGAGUAACACGUGAGUAACCUGCCCUUGACUUUGGGAUAACUUCAGGAAACUGGGGCUAAUACCGGAUAGGUGCUCCUGCUGCAUGGUGGGGGUUGGAAAGUUUCGGCGGUUGGGGAUGGACUCGCGGCUUAUCAGCUUGUUGGUGGGGUAGUGGCUUACCAAGGCUUUGACGGGUAGCCGGCCUGAGAGGGUGACCGGCCACAGUGGGGCUGAGAUACGGCCCAGACUCCUACGGGAGGCAGCAGUGGGGAAGAUUGCACGAUGGGCGGAAGCCUGAUGCAGCAACGCCGCGUGCGGGAUGACGGCCUUCGGGUUGUAAACCGCUUUCGCCUGUGACGAAGCGUGAGUGACGGUAGUGGGUAAAGAAGCACCGGCUAACUACGUG
rnacentral:rRNA from 1 species